rnacentral:rRNA from 1 species
UACGGAGGGUACUAGCGUUGUUCGGAAUUACUGGGCGUAAAGCGCACGUAGGCGGAUUUGUAAGUCAGGGGUGAAAUCCCGAGGCUCAACCUCGGAACUGCCUUUGAUACUGCAAAUCUCGAGUCCGGAAGAGGUGAGUGGAAUUCCUAGUGUAGAGGUGAAAUUCGUAGAUAUUAAGAAGAACACCAGUGGCGAAGGCGGCUCACUGGUCCGGUACUGACGCUGAGGUGCGAAAGCGUGGGGAGCAAACAGG